GCCGGUCCGGUGCCUCCUCACGGCCUAUCCGGGAUCUCCUCAGCUUCAGCCCUGACCCGGCACCCGCUCCCGCCCCUCUGUGCCCCGCGGGGGCGCUCAGCGCCCGGCCCGUGCGCAGGCAGAGGCAGCCCCCAGGAAAGGAACUUAUGCCCCAACCCAGGUGGAGAAUGGUAACUUCAGGCUGAGCACAAGAUUCCUGGAACAUCACCCUGUUACCACCAACCAAUCAGAAGAAAGUCUGCACACAGUGGAAGAUAACAAAGACUCUGGCCCCUUCCCCAAAUGGAGAGUCUCCCUUUAAAAACUUUCAUGAUCAAGCAGAAUCUUCGGAGUCGGUUUUUGGACAGAAGUCCACCUUUUCCCCAGGUCCCAGCCUCCUGAAUAAAGCAAUCUUUCCGACCA